rnacentral:siRNA from 1 species
CCGUCGGUGCAGAUCUUGGU